rnacentral:rRNA from 1 species
GUUUGAUCCUGGCUCAGAACGAGCGCUGGCGGCGUGGCUAAGACAUGCAAGUCGUACGGACCGGCCAAUUGAGUAAUCGAGAGGCCGGUUAGUGGCGAAAGGAUGAGUAAUGCAUAAACAACGUACCCCGGACACCAGGAUAGCUGCGGACUUCGGUCCUUUGCGAAAGUGCAGGUAAUACUGGAUAAUGUCUUCGAAUGGUAUCUUUUGAUGACCAAACGGUUUCGGCCGGUCUGGGAGCGGUUUAUGUCGUAUCAGCUUGUUGGUGAGGUAACGGCUCACCAAGGCAGCGACGCGUAGCGGGACUGAGACACUGCCCGGACCUCCACGGAGGGCUGCAGUAACGGAUAUUGCGCAAUGGGCGAAAGCCUGACGCAGCGACGCCGCGUGUAGGAUGAAGCCCCUCGGGGUGUAAACUACUGUCAGGGAAAAGAAAGGCUUCGGCUUGAUCUAUCCCAAAGGAAGGCCCGGCUAACUUCGUGCCAGCAGCCGCGGUAAUACGAAGGGGCCAAGCGUUGUUCGGAAUCACUGGGCUUAAAGCGCAUGUAGGCGGACGGCUAAGUGUCUUGUGAAAUCCCUCGGCUCAACCGAGGAACUGCAGGGCAUACUGGUCGUCUUGAGACAGUAGGGGUGCAUGGAACUCUGGGUGGAGCGGUGAAAUGCGUAGAUAUCCAGAGGAACGCCUGCGGAGAAAUCGGUGCACUGGGCUUGUACUGACGCUGAGAUGCGAAAGCGUGGGGAGCGAACAGGAUUAGAUACCCUGGUAGUCCACGCCGUAAACGAUGUCUACUAGGUCGCGGGUGCUCUGACGCGGUCGCGGCCGAAGCAAAAGUGUUAAGUAGACCGCCUGGGGAGUACGGUCGCAAGGCUAAAACUCAAAGGAAUUGACGGGGGCUCACACAAGCGGUGGAGCAUGUGGCUUAAUUCGAAUCAACGCGAAGAACCUUAUCCUGGGUUUGACAUGUAUGGAUGCUCUUGGUGAAAGCCAAGUAGGCUGCCUUCGGGUGAAACUUACACAGGUGCUGCAUGGCUGUCGUCAGCUCGUGUCGUGAGAUGUUGGGUUAAGUCCCGUAACGAGCGAAACCCUUGUCGUUAGUUACCAGCGAGUAAUGUCGGGGACUCUAACGAGACUGCCGGUGUUAAACCGGAGGAAGGUGGGGAUGACGUCAAGUCCUCAUGGCCUUUAUGCCCAGGGCUGCACACGUGCUACAAUGGUCCGGACAAACCGACGCAAAACCGCGAGGUCGAGCAAAUCGGAAAAACCGGGCCUCAGUUCGGAUUGCAGGCUGCAACUCGCCUGCAUGAAGUCGGAAUCGCUAGUAAUCGCAGAUCAGCUAUGCUGCGGUGAAUAAGU